CCUUACACAUGCAAGUCGAACGGUAACAGCACUUCGGUGGCUGACGAGUGGCGGACGGGUGAGUAAUACAUCGGAACGUGCCCGAUCGUGGGGGAUAACUACUCGAAAGAGUGGCUAAUACCGCAUACGAUCUACGGAUGAAAGCGGGGGAUCGCAAGACCUCGCGCGGACGGAGCGGCCGAUGGCAGAUUAGGUAGUUGGUGGGAUAAAAGCUUACCAAGCCGACGAUCUGUAGCUGGUCUGAGAGGACGACCAGCCACACUGGGACUGAGACACGGCCCAGACUCCUACGGGAGGCAGCAGUGGGGAAUUUUGGACAAUGGGGGAAACCCUGAUCCAGCCAUGCCGCGUGCAGGAUGAAGGCCUUCGGGUUGUAAACUGCUUUUGUACGGAACGAAAAGACUCUUUCUAAUACAGAGGGUCCAUGACGGUACCGUAAGAAUAAGCACCGGCUAACUACGUGCCAGCAGCCGCGGUAAUACGUAGGGUGCAAGCGUUAAUCGGAAUUACUGGGCGUAAAGCGUGCGCAGGCGGUUAUAUAAGACAGAUGUGAAAUCCCCGGGCUCAACCUGGGAACUGCAUUAGUGACUGUAUAGCUGGAGUGCGGCAGAGG
rnacentral:rRNA from 1 species